UACGUAGGGGGCAAGCGUUGUCCGGAAUCAUUGGGCGUAAAGAGCGCGUAGGCGGUCCAGUAAGUCCGCUCUGAAAGUCCGGGGCUCAACCCCGGGAGGCGGGCGGAUACUGCUGGGCUAGAGUCCGGAAGAGGCGAGUGGAAUUCCUGGUGUAGCGGUGGAAUGCGCAGAUAUCAGGAGGAACACCAAUAGCGAAGGCAGCUCGCUGGGACGUUACUGACACUGAGGCGCGAAAGCGUGGGGAGCGAACAGG
rnacentral:rRNA from 1 species